AGUGAACGCUGGCGGUAGGCCUAACACAUGCAAGUCGAACGGCCGCACAGUAAGAGCUUGCUCUUACGGGUGGCGAGUGGCGGACGGGUGAGGAAUACAUCGGAAUCUACUUUUUCGUGGGGGAUAACGUAGGGAAACUUACGCUAAUACCGCAUACGACCUACGGGUGAAAGCAGGGGAUCUUCGGACCUUGCGCGAUUGAAUGAGCCGAUGGCGGAUUAGCUAGUUGGCGGGGUAAAGGCCCACCAAGGCGACGAUCCGUGGCUGGUCUGAGAGGAUGAUCAGCCACACUGGAACUGAGACACGGUCCAGACUCCUACGGGAGGCAGCAGUGGGGAAUAUUGGACAAUGGGCGCAAGCCUGAUCCAGCCAUACCGCGUGGGUGAAGAAGGCCUUCGGGUUGUAAAGCCCUUUUGUUGGGAAAGAAAAGCAGCAGGUUAAUACCCCGCUGUUCUGACGGUACCCAAAGAAUAAGCACCGGCUAACUUCGUG
rnacentral:rRNA from 1 species